AAUCCAGACUCCUACGGGAGGCAGCAGUGGGGAAUAUUGCACAAUGGGGGGAACCCUGAUGCAGCGACGCCGCGUGGGUGAAGGAGUAUUUCGGUAUGUAAAGCCCUAUCAGCAGGGAAGAACAAUGACGGUACCUGACUAAGAAGCACCGGCUAAAUACGUGCCAGCAGCCGCGGUAAUACGUAUGGUGCAAGCGUUAUCCGGAUUUACUGGGUGUAAAGGGCGUGUAGCCGGGCUUACAAGUCAGAUGUGAAAUCCGGGGGCUCAACCCCCGAACUGCAUUUGAAACUGUAGGUCUUGAGUAUCGGAGAGGCAGGCGGAAUUCCUAGUGUAGCGGUGAAAUGCGUAGAUAUUAGGAGGAACACCAGUGGCGAAGGCGGCCUGCUGGACGACAACUGACGGUGAGGCGCGAAAGCGUGGGGAGCAAACAGGAUUAGAUACCCGGGUA
rnacentral:rRNA from 1 species